rnacentral:rRNA from 1 species
GCAAGUCGAGCGCGCCCUUCGGACUUAGUGGCGGACGGGUGAGUAACGCGUGAGAAUCUGCCUUCAGGAUGGGGACAACAGUUGGAAACGACUGCUAAUACCCAAUAUGCCUACGGGUGAAACCUUUUUUGGCCUGAAGAUGAGCUCGCGUCUGAUUAGCUAGUUGGUGGUGUAACGGACUACCAAGGCAUCGAUCAGUAGCUGGUCUGAGAGGAUGAGC